rnacentral:rRNA from 1 species
UACGGAGGUCUCAAGCGUUGUUCGGAUUCAUUGGGCGUAAAGGGUGCGUAGGCGGCGCGGUAAGUCGGGUGUGAAAUCUCGGAGCUUAACUCCGAAACUGCAUUCGAUACUGCCGUGCUUGAGGACGGGAGAGGAGAGUGGAAUUUACGGUGUAGCGGUGAAAUGCGUAGAUAUCGUAAGGAAGACCAGUGGCGAAGGCGGGUCUCUGGACAGUUCCUGACGCUGAGGCACGAAGGUCAGGGGAGCAAACGGG